UUCGCCGUGAUACGUGGCAGACGGGUGAGUAGUGCACAGGAAUCUACCUUCUGGUGGGGAAUAACUUGGGGAAACUCAAGCUAAUUCCGCAUAAUGCCGAGAGGUGAAAGCAGCAAUGCGCCAUUAGAUGAGCCUGUGUUCGAUUAGCCUGUUGGUGGGGUAAAAGCCUACCAAGGCUACGAUCGAUAGCUGGUCUGAGAGGACGAUCAGCCACAGUGGAACUGCGACACGGUCCACACUCCUACGGGAGGCAGCAGUGGGGAAUUUUCCGCAAUGGGCGAAAGCCUGACGGAGCGAUACCGCGUGUGGGAAGAAGGCUCUAGGGUUGUAAACCACUGUCGGCGGGGAAGAAAAGAAUGACGGUACCCGCAAAGGAAGCACCGGCUAACUCUGUGCCAGCAGCCGCGGUAAGACAGAGGGUGCUAGCGUUAUCCGGAAUUAUUGGGCGUAAAACGUUUGUAGGCGGUUCAUUAAGUCUAAAGUGAAAUAGGUGAGCUCAACUCACUCUCUGCUUUAGAUACUGAUGAACUAGAGUAUGUUAGGGGUUAUUGGAAUUCCCGGUGUAGUGGUGAAAUACGUAGAUAUCGGGAGGAACUCCAGAGGCGAAAGCGAAUAACUGGGGCAUAACUGACGCUGAGAGACGAAAGCGU
rnacentral:rRNA from 1 species